rnacentral:lncRNA from 1 species
UAAUGGACUGUGCACAGUUAAAUUUAUCACACUAGAAGGGCCAAGGAUUUCCCUCCAAAUAAUCAACUAUAACCUAUCCCACUUUCUACUUGUCCUAUAGAUAUACAUAAAGAUUGCAAUUUGCAAACAACUCAAAGCAAUCUUCAAUGAAGGAAUUGAAGAAGAUUUAGCUUGUAAAGACUAUUUCAAAACGUGUGAAAUCAGCUAGUGAGAUCUUCUAAGUAUGUAUCAAGUCCC